AGACAUUGCCAGUUGAACAUGACUUUUCCAGUUGGAUCUUUGUCAAUGUUGUAAUCAUGUCAGUCCAAGUACUUGUAAUCAGAAAUUCAUUAGAUCUAUAAAACCGGUUCAGUUGAACACCUAUUUUUGGAUUUAAAUUAAGUUUUAUAUUUUUAGAUCUUUGAAUAUAUUUUAUUCAGCACAUAUUGCAUACACUUCCUCUGAUUUGAAUCUUUGUAAUAAUUAGCUAUUAUGUUUCAACUGACACUUUAUUGCAGUUUCUCAAUUAGUUACAGUAAAUGCAAUAUAUAUCCUAUAUGUAUGACAUCCCAACAGGAAGAACAAUCAGAUUGAACUUACGGAAGUUCCGGUAUCUAGGAUAUUAUUUGUUGCUUUGUACAUAAGACGUCAUAGCAGAGGGAUUCUCGCGCAUGUGCAAAUAUGUGGCUCGGAUCUUUUUAACCCCUCCCCCCCCCCCCCGACACCACCAAAAGAAAAAAAAAUAAUAUGAAACCGACAAGAUUAGAGUUGCCAGCGUCUCUUUUUCCAGAUCUACUUAUAAACGUAUUUUAUAUACAUGUAUGUAAAACGAACUGGUUAAUAUCCUACGCGUGCAUGACUUUGUAAAAAACAGAAGUAAGCGAUCUACAGCGAUAAAUACUAAUAGUAUUAUGUUGAAAAUUUUAUCAUCGCUAUACACCUAUAAACUUACACCGUCGUAUGUAAGUUUGCAUACAAAUGUAUGCUAUGUUGGUGCACUAAGCGCAGAAGUCCUCGGACCCAUCUUACAUGGAAGUAGUACUUUAAGACAGAACACAGUAGCAUACCUGAUGUGUUUUUUUUAUAAUGAAUCGAUCAAGGAUGUAAAUCAAAUAUAAUAAUUAUGAUAACGUGUUUUAACCAAAUAAUAUUUGCAAAAAUACCAAAGCUUAGUUUGCAAGAGCAUCUGAAAAAUGUAAUAUCUUUUGUUAAAUUGUAAACUCUAUUUUAAUUAGUCCUUCCAUCCAAGUUUUGAUAUUUGAAACAGAUCAACAAAAACACGCGCUUACCGUGUAAAUUUACGUGCCGAGCGUGUGUUUUAUACGGUCGGCAUGUAAAAUACACAUUACCACGUAAAUUUGUCCGCUGAGCGUGUAAAUAUACACGCUAAACGUGUAUCGUCUUAACAUCACUCCGAACAAAACCAAACACCAGUUUGCACUGGACAACACUUGCGACAGGUUCAUUAAGAAGGCAGAUUUCAUUUACAUGUAUGCAAUGUUAUAUAACAACAUACCUUUCCAUUUAAACAACAUAUUAUGCAAAACAUGAGCUCUCCAUAUUCAUACAUAUUUAAGUGUAUUCAUCCUUUUUACUCUGACAACACCGAUGUGUAAUACAUGCUACAAUCAAAUUAAUCAAAAAUAUUUUGACGGCUACUUUAAACAACUAAAACAGUUUAAAACAGUAAUGAUACUUCAAUGUUAUAACAGAACACUAUCCCAAUUGAAAAAUUUAUUUUCAUCUCUGGAAUACUGGCCGCACACGAAAAACUCCCUAAGAGCCCACACAUUAAAUAAAAAUGAAAUAUUAUACCAGAUUAAAGCUUAGGAAGAAACGUGUCACCGUGGCUACAAUAAAAAUUGUAUGGCACGAAAUCAAAAUGAUUUCUCAGAAUAUUCCUCCGAAAAUUGGAUACCGGAUCUAACCCAAGCAUGUAUAUGUUAAUAAUCAAUUUAUAUAUAAUAGCUACAUAAAAAAACUUCGAAUUUGAAUAGCAAAUUAACCUGUUCAACCUGUCAGAGUGAAGUCUAGCCUAGAACUAAAUAACACCCGCUAAUCCAUCAAAUACCUUCCAAAUAACACAUGGCUAAACUGCAUGACUGAUUCGCGCCAAAUAUUCUUUCCCGCAAAUAUUUGCGCUACUUUAUGUUAAGACAUUCCUUCUGUGCUACAUGUAUGCUGCGAAACGGGCAGAACUGUUAAAUACUGUCGCUCCAACGAUUUCAGACUUUUGACCCAAAUGGUACGUCAUAGUAGUAUAUAGUGAGAAGGGGAUCAUGUAGAUGUUGACAAGGGAUUAGGCCAAAGCUCAAGUAAACAUGAAAUUGUGUUUCUGGAAUAUAGAAGUUCUUUUGGCAAAAACUGCUUUUCAUGACUUUAUUCUUUACUUAUCAUCUUUUGAAAUAUUUGUAUUAGCUGAAACUUCGGAAGAGAAAAAAGAUGUCACACAAGGUGUGUUUAGGUCACAUACUGAUUUUUUUUUACCAGCCAUCAAAAAUGCAAUGUUUGGUAGAGCCGUGGGUGGCAUGUCUGUACAUGUUAAAAUGAGUUAUUAAAAUUUACAACACGUGUUAACCUUGAAUUUGAUGUCGGCAUUAUAUUAAAAAUUUCAAAUUCAUUUACAAAGCCGGAUAAAUAUACUAUUUUGUUUUUCGCUCAUUUACCGCCAGUGAACUCACCUUUUAUGACAACAAAACAUCAUAAGGUACCUAAUUUUUGCAACAAGUUAUAAAUUCUUUCGUUAGUAAUUAUCAUGAUUGCAACCUUAUAUUAUAAUAAUGGGAGAUUUAAAUGCCAGUUGCGGUCAACCAAGUGAAUGCUUAAACGUCGAUCACAAUAUGUUUCAACUUUAAGCGUAUAAGAAUUUGUUUCAGAGCCCGGUUGAUGAGAUACGUGCAUCUUGUGAUAAAACAAUUAAUCCACAACGUUAACUUUUUAUUUAGCUGUGUAAGGUGUAUUCUUUGUAUAUCAUGAAUGUACCUUUAGGCUAAGAUAAAGAUUAUGGCCACUACUCUACUUUAGGUUGCAGUGUAAUUGACUAUGCAGCAUGUUAAGAAGAUGGAAUAAGUUUUGUCUUGAGGUGAAUCUAAUCUAAACAUUUGCGAUUAAAUGUUAAGCUAAACGUAUUUUAUGAUGCAACUCAAAACCAUGCUGGGGGUAGAAAAUGCAAGGAUGCAAUUUACAAUAUCCCAAUGUAGGUUUCAAGAAAUGGCAAGUAAUCCUUUUACAAUAGGUUUAAUAACAAGUUUAUGUGUGGCUAUUGAUGAUGUUAACACUAACAUUAAUACCACUGUGUCGAAUUUCAAUGCAUGUUUGGAAGAGAUCGGAAAACAUUUUUGAAAGAAUCUUAAAUAUGAAAAAUAUACUUCGCCAAAACGGUUCGAUUCUGAAUGUAAGAGAUUACCACGUCUGAAAUAUAAGCUGUUACGGCAAUAUAGAAGUUGCAGAUCACAAGAAAUUUUACAAUUUUUUUUAAAUGAAAUGCAUCUAAAAUGUGUGCAGUCUGAAAGUACUAGAAUACAAUAAACGUAACCUAGAUGAUCCAACGUUCAAAGUUGAACGACCUAAAAUCCGUUUGGUCAAAACUUAAGUUUAUGACAGGCAAAAAAGUAGUAUAGCAAAUAACAUAUCUGCAAACGAAUGGCUACAGAAUUUCAAAUGUUUGUUAAAUCCCUUCUUGGAACCCAAACAAACAGCGGUGAAAAGCACAACAAUGUAACUGAAAGCAAUGCUGCAUUAUUCUGUAAAACACGGGAUUUUCUUGCCGUAUUACCCUCCAAGAAUUUGCCGAAUUUCAAGGUUGGAACCGACCUUUCGCAAAAACUGCUUAGAAUUUCAGAAAAACAUUGUCUUGUGUUUAUAGUCCACUAUCUUGGCUUGAGCCUCGUAAAAACUUUAUUCAAAUCGGUGAAAAAAUGAAAUACUUGCACUGUUUUUAAGUUCUGAAUCGACAAAUUUGUUUAUGAAUUUUCUUGCCGUAAUACCCGAAAAUGACGUCACAUACCAUGAGGUAUGUACACACUGUAAUUGUUAGAAACAAAAGGCAAAAAUUGUUUGUUGCCUUGAUUGACUUUACAAACUGUUUUGAUACUAUAGAUAGACAUAUUCUUUGGAAUUUACUUAGAAAUGGUGGUAUACGUGGUAACCUCUAUAGAGCUCUACAGAGUAUGUAUAAAAAAGUAAAAGCAUGUACAUUUUGUAUCAGAUGCAAUAAUGUAAGAAAUGAUUAUAUAAUAAAUUCAUUAGGACUAAAACAAGGAUGUUUGGCACGUCAGAUUCUCUUCUCUUUUUAUAUAGAUGAAUAAAAACACAUUUUAGAUACAAAUGAUCUACGAAAAAUUCGGUUACAUCCAUUUGAGAUACAGCUUGUUAUCAUUGAUGUUUGCAGAUGAUAUUGCCCUACUAUCUGAUACUGUUACUGGUUUGCAAAAACAACUGAAUGUUUUAUCCAUUUUUCAUAAAAACUUAAUGUAAAUGAA
rnacentral:lncRNA from 1 species